CCUAACACAUGCAAGUCGAACGGUAACAGGAAACAGCUUGCUUCUUUGCUGACGAGUGGCGGACGGGUGAGUAAUGUCUGGGAAGCUGCCUGAUGGAGGGGGAUAACUACUGGAAACGGUAGCUAAUACCGCAUAAUGUCGCAAGACCAAAGAGGGGGACCUUCGGGCCUCUUGCCAUCGGAUGUGCCCAGAUGGGAUUAGCUGGUAGGUGGGGUAACGGCUCACCUAGGCGACGAUCCCUAGCUGGUCUGAGAGGAUGACCAGCCACACUGGAACUGAGACACGGUCCAGACUCCUACGGGAGGCAGCAGUGGGGAAUAUUGCACAAUGGGCGCAAGCCUGAUGCAGCCAUGCCGCGUGUAUGAAGAAGGCCUUCGGGUUGUAAAGUACUUUCAGCGGGGAGGAAGGGAGUAAAGUUAAUACCUUUGCUCAUUGACGUUACCCGCAGAAGAAGCACCGGCUAACUCCGUGCCAGCA
rnacentral:rRNA from 1 species